rnacentral:rRNA from 1 species
CACGUAGGGCGCAAGCGUUGUCCGGAAUUAUUGGGCGUAAAAGAGCCUCGUAGGCGGUCUGUUGCGUCCGCUGUGAAAACUCGGGGCUUAACCCCGAGCCUGCAGUGGAUACGGGCAGACUAGAGGUAGGUAGGGGGAGAAUGGAAUUCCUGGUGUAGCGGUGAAAUGCGUAGAUAUCAGGAGGAACACCGGUGGUGUAGACGGCUUUCUGGACCGUAACUGACGCUGAGACACGAAAGCGUGGGUAGCAAACAGG